UACAGAGGGUGCUAGCGUUGUUCGGAAUCAUUGGGCGUAAAGGGCGUGUAGGCGGUUUGUUAAGUCAUGUGUGAAAUCCCUCGGCUCAACCGGGGAACGACGCAUGAAACUGGCAAGCUAGAGUACCAAAGAGGGGGGUGGAAUUCCCGGUGUAGCGGUGAAAUGCGUAGAUAUCUGGAGGAACACCGGUGGCGAAGGCGGCAUUCUGGACCGAUAUUGACGCUGAGGAGCGAAAGCCAGGGGAGCAAACGGG
rnacentral:rRNA from 1 species